rnacentral:lncRNA from 1 species
GGUGUCUGUUGUGUGCCAGGUGCUGUGCUAGACUCUGGGACAGAGCAGCAAGCAGGACAGUCACUGUCCCUGCCCUGGGGGAACUUGGCAGGGGAGACAAAUAAUAAACAAACGAGCGAGACUGUCCUAAGUGCACGAAGGAAAAUAAGCUGCUUUGAUGGAGGGCACAGGGUGGGACCUCCUUCCCAUCAAGGUAGCAGGAGGGCCCCUCUGAGGAGGUGGUAUCUGAGCUGAGACGUAAGGGGAGAAAGGAGGCUCGCCAGGCAAUAUGCCUGCUGUCUGCACAGGCUGUGCCUUCUGCCUGGAGCACCCUUCUCUCUACUUCUCUGUGCCAAACUCCCACUCACUGUUCCAGGUCUGGCUGGGCAGGCAUCUCCUCUGGGGGUGGGAGGUGGACUGGGAGACUUCCUUGACCCGAGGGGGAGCCUGUCCUCCAACUCCCCAACUGUCUCCUCUUUCCUCCCUGAUCCCAGAGCAGACCUUGAAUGCAGGGAGCCUCUAUUUGAAUCGGCAGAACCACCCACCUGCCAAAGAUGGAGGUCCAGAGAGGUUAAGCGACUUGCUCAAGGACACACAGCCAGCAAGUGUUCAAGGAGGGAUCGGCACUAGGGAUUUACAGGCUGCCUUUUGGCUAUUGUUUACUUGCCUUCCUCACUGCCCUCCUUAGGUCAGAACCCCAGAGGUUAGCUCUACCUUCAGGGAAAGGCAGGUGGGGACCUGAGCCCUGGACUCCCAGAAGGACCCUGUGUCCACUGCCACCCUCUGAGCCCCAGCGAACAUCAGGAGCUCAGUUGGGGCAAGUCGCCCACAUCACCUGCCCCUGGACUGGUCCACACUCUUUGCUCCCCAGGCCAGUUUCUGGCACUGACAAGCACAAGGCCAGGCCGCCUGCACACCUGGCUCCCAUCCUGGUCCCAGGGGCUCCACCAGGCGGUGGGGACAGGGAGAUGCUUAGGAGGCUCUGCAUCGGACAAAGGGUGCAAGUUUGUGGAGGGCGGGGCUCAGCUCCCCUAUCCCAGUCUCUCUCACUGGGGAACCUAGUGGGGUGGAUGGAGCCCGAGUGCUGACGGCCCCAGACUGAGUGCAGGGUCAGCUCUAUCCUUUGAGGCUCUGAAUCUCAAAAAUCUUGUCCUUCUCAUCUGCAAGAUGGAAACCACCUGCCUCGGGAUGAAAUGAUAGCAUGGUGGCUCGGGGCUCCCAAAAUGCAGACUCCACUGCUGGGGAUUGCUAUGAUUCCAGUUUCAUUCACACAUUCAUUUCAUCAGUGUUUGCUGAGACCCUAUCCUGUGUCAGGCCCUGGGCAGGAGGUUGGAGUCACAUCACAAAACAGAAAAAAUCCCUGCCUUUGCACGGUCAGUGCGCAGGUAAACCAACAGCAUCAUUUCAGAACGUGGUAAAAGCUUGGGAGCAAAUAUCCCAGGGAGGAGUGAUGGAGAGUGACCAGGGGCUUCUUUAAAUAGGGUGACUGGAGAGUGCCUCCCUGAGAAGCAGCUGUGACCCGAGAGAGGGAUGUUGAUGAUGAAAGGAACGGCAAAGGCAAAGGCCCUGAGGUCAGAACAAGCUGGGGGUUCGGAGAACAGAAGGGCAGCCACUGUGGCAUGAACAGAGUGAGGGAGAGGAUCGGAGAGAGAGGAAGGAGGUGGGUCCUUCAGGGCAUCGAAGGCGGGGUGAGAAAUUUGAAUUUCAUUCCAACGGUGAUUGUUAUAAACAAAGACCCAAGUUAUGAGUGACUACAAUAUGCAAAGUGCAAACUCAUCGUGAUUCACUUCCAGCCCAGAGCUUGAGCCCUUUGGAUCUGGCGCCUUAGAGAAAAGCACCUGCGCACCCCUCCUCUGCAGCUUUUCUUUUUUAAAGAAAUACAAAGGUAACAGGUCAUUGCCACCUGUCAGAUGGGAUGCGAGUUUGUUAGUUGUGAACGUGGCCAUAGUCUCUGGACUUUGGUGCUUAUUGGGAGAGUGAAGUGGGCUGAGGAGAGGCAGUAAUAUCACCUGCCCUGAUUUCAACAGUGCCGUGGCAAAUGGGGAAGGCUUGGAAGAUCAGCUGGUCCAACCCCCUGACUCCCAGAUGAGGAACCUGAGGUCCAGACGAGGGGGAAGUGAGUGGCCAAAGGUGACACUGUGAGUCAGAGGCAGAUGCAGGACUUGAACUCAGGCCCCCUGACUUUCAACCCAGACUUUCUGAGAAAUGGGUGUCUUGCCAUAGGCUUCCCCUUUGCUUUUUCCUCCCAGACAGUGUCAGCUGCUCUUGGGGCCAGGGAGCAGACUUGGAGCAGGGGGGCAGAGGUUUGGGGUCCACCCCUUCCUCAAUGCACACUUUCUCAUCAGCAGCACUACUAGUGUUUGAACCAGAUCAUUAUCUGUCGUGGUGGAUGUCCUGUGUGGCACCUUCAGACCACUUCUCAGAUGAAAACAGAGCCACAGGGAUGCCUCUCAAAGUCACAGAACUGGAAAAGGCGAAGGGAGAAAGCAGUUUAACUCCGAAUUAGUAAUGACUCCUGCCAUUGGUAUAACCCCCUAAUGGCAAUUGCUGAAUGUUGAGCGAAACACCAGGCAAACACCAGGAUGAACUGACCGAAGAACUUCUCCAGUGUCAGGAGAAUAGGUCCUUUGGCUCAAAGCACAAUUUCCAAGCAGAAAGGGUUUCACGUAGAGAUGAAAAGACCAUGAUCUGGAAGUGUGAGGCUGCAACUCAGAAGGGACAGUGAAACGAGAAAGUUUCUGAAAACCAAGGUACAUCAGCUGGGUUUGGGGAAAAAAAUCAUUCCAUGACCUAUAAGAGUAUAUAAGAAAGCAUAUUGGAAAAAGUAUCUAGUUUUUAAGAAUAGACUUUAUUUUUUAGAGCAGCAUCAGAUUUAUAGAAAAAUGGGAAAGGUAGCACCCUGCACCCAGGUUCCCCUAUGAGUAACACGUUAACAUUGUCCUGGUACAUUUGUUACAGUUAAUGCACCAGGGGUGAUGGAUUACUAUUAACUAAAGUUCAUAAUUUAUUCAGAUUUUAAAAGUUUUUACCUAAUAUCUUUGUUUGUUUAUUCCAAGAUCCCAUUUAAGAUUCCAUAUCACCUUUGGUUGUCAUGUCCUUUUAGGUUCCUCUUGGCUGUGACAGUUUCUCAGACUUUCCUUGCUUUUGGUGAACUUGACAGCUUUGAGGAGUACUGGUCAGGUUUUUCGUUGGCUGCUCUUCUUUUGAAAGAAUUUUCUGAUGUUUUCGUCUUGGUUGGGUGGGGGUUGUGGGUGAUGAGGAGGAAGCUCUCAGAAGUAGAGUGCCAUUUUUAUCAUGUUGCAUCAAGAAUACAGACUGUCAACAAGAUUUAUCACUGUCGAUGCUGACCUUGAUCACCUGGCUCAGGCGGUGUUUGUCGGGUUUCUCCCCUGGGGAGUUCCUCUCCCCCCUCUUCCCUUAUUGUCCUCUUUGGAAAAAAGUCACUCUGUGUAGCCCUCACCUAAAGAGGAGGCGGUUCUGCUGUGGUGUACAAAUGACUUAGAGUUCUGCCCAGAUUUGUCUGUUCUCCCUUAUUGACUUAUUGAUCCAAUCCUAUCAGUAUGGACUCAUGGCUAUUUUAUUUACGCUUUGAGUUAUAAUUCAAUAUUAAUUAAUUUUGUUGUUCAAAUUGUUGCAGCUUUGGCCACAGGAGCUCUUUGAGUUGGUUCCCUUGGCCCCGAUGUACCACCAUCAAUGUAGGUUUUUUUUUUUUUUUCUUUCUUUGAGCACUUACUUACUUCUAGUGCUACAAGAUGCUUCAGGCUCGUCUUGUAUAUUUCUUACCCCAGUCUUAGAAUCAGCGGUUUCACCAUGGAGCCCUGAUUCCUUUAUUUGGAGAGUGGUGUUAGAAACCAAUAUCUGGGUGCCAGUGUGCCUAUUGCUAGUGGGGUGGCAUUCCUUUUAGGCCUUCUCAGCUGACAGAAAAAAGAAAUAUAGAAGUUCCUUCUAUGGUACAGCAGGUUAAGGAUACAAUGUUGCCUCUGCAGUGGAGUGGGGUUUUUUUUUUUUAGGGCUGCACUUGCGGCAUAUGAAGGUUCCCAGGCUAGGGGUCUAGUUGGAGCUGUUGCCUCCAGCCUAUGCCAGGGCCACAGCAAUGCCAGAUCGGAGCCACAUCUGUGACCUACACCACAGCUCAUGGCAACACCAGAUCCUUAACCCACUGAGCGAGGCCAGGGAUUGAACCUGCAACCUCAUGGUUCCUAGUCAGAUUCAUUUCCACUGCACCAUAAUGGGAACUUCUAUAUAUAUAUAUGUGUGUGUGUAUGUCUAUUUACUUAUAUAUAAAUGCAUAUGCAGAUAUCUAUAAAUAUUACCAUAUGUAGCCAUCUAUAUUUUCAUUUCACUAAACAUGAAUUCAUGCUGCUAUCUCCAGAAUCUAUUGUUUUUAAUGAGGUUUGAAGUAGUGGUGUGUCACUCUAUUGAUAACCAUAAUUAUCACUGCUACAUACUGUGUGAUUAUUAUGUGCUAAGUACUUUCUAAGUGUUUAAUGAGCAUUAUCUCAUUUAAGCUGCAUGACAGCCCCAGACCUUGGUUAUACCCCUCAACCUCAUUUUACUGAUGAGGUUUUGGAGGCAUAGAAAACCUAAGAUCCUGACCAAAAAUUCUCCCAUCUAGUAAGUGGUGAAAUUGGUGUCAAACUUGGCUCAAUUUGUGUCAAACAUGAAAAUGCACCUAUAUUUUGCAUUAAAGAGAAUUUAUAUACAACUGAAAGACACCAUUGUCUUACAGUUGACUGGCUGAUACAGUAUUAUAUUUCGAAGACAUUUAACUUAAAUGUCAUGAUAUUCUUUGAAGCCAAUAUAAUAUUUUGGAUUUCAGACAUGUUCUGUUUGAGGCUCUGUUGUCUCUAAUGACCAGUGGAUGAAAGAGCUUAGGCAUGUCCACCCAGCCACCCUGCUGGGUCAUUCUCAGUACCUCCCUCCAGCUAGUCCCAUGGGAAAUUCGCGGGCACACAGAGACUUCUGGGAGACAUGUCCUAGGCAGCUCAGAUCCCAGAGGGCCAAAGGAAGAUGGAAAGGAAGUAUGGGUGGAGGGAUGGGGCGGGCUGCCGUGGUGCUCUGACCCCCAGGUGUUCCUGGUGUCAAUCUGGUUUGACCUGCUGGGCAUCUUUGGUGGGGAGUCUUGGACAGGAGCCUGCCCUGACCCCCAGCAUGGCCCGAGGGCAGCCCAAGGUCCCUCCUGGUUUUCCUCACCACAGCCCCCUCCUCUCAGGCUGGCCCCACUCUCCUCAGGCCCAAGGCCAGCCUCAUUCCCCCUCCUCCAGGAAGCCUCCUCUGUCCCACCCUCCGUGAUGUCCACGAUCCCUGAAAUUCCAAGCCUAGACUAAGGGUCUCAAACUAGUGGCCCACAGACAUGUUUUCUUUAACCUGAAUGGUGUUUUCUAAAAUUCUGAUUUGGUAGCUAGCAUUGAAGAACGAGAGAUUUCAGGGGGAAAUGUGGACACCCAGCCUUUCUUACAAAGGUUGAAAGCCUGACAGCCCUGAGCUCACAUACCCCUCAGUGGGCUCAGCACUCUGCCUGGUGCAUAGUAGGUGCUCAGCCAACUGUUGACAGCAUGAAUGGGCCAAAUGCACUCAGCUUGGAAUCCUGGCUUUGGGGGCACACAGGACUGAUUUUCAGUGCCAGCCCUUCCCUUUCUUGGCCAUGGAACCUGGGAAAAAGUAUUUCUUCUCACUCAGCCUCAGUUUCCUAAUCUGGAGAAUGGGCUUAAAAUAAAAGCUUCCACGUGGGGGUUUGUGAUGUUGAAGUGAGCUAGCACUUGGUGUAGGCUUAGGACAAGAGAGGCUUUCUGGGAGAAUGGAUAAAUAUUUCCUUUUCUCCCUUGGUUUCCUCCUUAUUUUGCUUUGCUUUGGCAUCUCUCAUUUCCUAAUGCCCCUGCCAUCCAUCUGUUCUCUCCACAAAUGCCAACUGUGUGCCAGACACAUGUGAGACCUAGUGGCUGCCCUCAGAGAAUUCCUCUUCCUGGUCUAGCUGAGAGGAGAGAAGUUUCACUCAUGCACGCAUUCAUUUACUUAUUCAUUCACCUGUAUCACAAAUGUCUAUUGAACCCUACUGUGUGUCAGCAGUUGUUCAGAACACAGAGGAUAUGGAAAUGAACAAAACAAACAGAAGUCCCUGUUAUCAUGGGACUGGCAUUCUGGUGGUAGCUCAGGGGCCAUAAACCAAUACAGCGUCAAGUAGCACUGGGUUCCAUGAAGAACUGCAGUCCUGGUGGAGGUGCUGCUGCUUGAUCAGGGAAGUCUUCUCUGUGAGCAGGAAGGGAGUGAGCUAUGUGGCUGGCUCUCUGACAUAAGAGCAUUCCGGACAGCAAGAACAGCAAGUGCAAAGGCCCUGGGGCAGGCACAGGCCUGGGGUGUUUGGGAGGCAGUGAGAAGGCCAGAAUGACUGGAGGAGAGUGAGCUGUUUAUUUCUGUAAUGUUAGAAUUCCUCUCCUCCUUUCCUUCCCUUCCUCUUUGCUCAUUUUUUUUUUUUUACAAUGAGUCUCUUAAUUUUGUAAUCCAAAUACACAAUGACAAUUUAUAUAAAUAGAAUAUCUGGAAAGUCUUUGGGCAUGUUGGUAUGUAGGAACAGUGACUGCUAUUAUUAUCAUUUCUUCUCAUUUCUGGUAGGAAUGAAUCAUGUCUAAAGUUUCCUAAAGAGGCAAUGGACCCUUGAGCCCUUGUCCCACUGUGGUGGGCCUUUCUUCUUCUUUUCUUUUUCUAGCUUCACUGGGAAGUGAUUGAUAUAUGAUACUGUAUAAAUUUAAGGGGAUCCAUGCGUUGAUUGGAUCCACUUGUAUAUCACAAACUGAUUGCCACCUGAGCCUUAGCUAACACCUCCGGUGAAGGGCCUUUCUUCUGCCCCAUCCUUCUAAGGUGAGUGUGUAGAGUGGAUAUGUGUGUGUUUGUGACAAGGUCAGGUGCCUCUUCCUUCUCCUCCCCAAUCCUGCCCCCUCCUCUUCUUUUCUUUUCUAUUUGUGAAUUCCUUUUUNUUUUUUUUUUUUUUUUUUUGGUCUUUUUAGGGCCACACCUGUGGCAUAUGGAGGUUCCCAGCCUAGGAGUCAAGUUGGAGCUGUAGCCACUGGUCUACGCCACAGCCAUGGCAACACAAGAUCCGAGCCACAUCUGCGACCUACACCACAGCUCACAGCAACGCCGGAUCCUUAACCCACUGAGCGAGGCCGUGGGUAGAACCUUCUUCCCCACAGAUGCUAGUCAGAUUCGUUAACCGCUGAGCCACGACGGGAACUCCUCUAUCUGUAAACUCUUUAGCAGAAGGAAGAACCUAUAUUCUGGAGGUCUUGUUUCAGGGCUAUUGGGAAUGUGUGAGUUGUCCGGAGUUUGUGAUGUAAGUGGGGGGUUGGGGGGAGGAAGAGCCUGUUGUGUCAGAAAGAGGGAGUUCACAGAGUGCUUGAGGAUGGAUCUUAAAAUAGGGCCCUGGCAGAGCUUCCGCGCCUGCCCGCUUGCAUCUCUCACAAGCAUCCUAUCUGAUAAAUCUACUUCUUGCCUAUCACUUUGUCUCUCACUGAAUUCUUUCUGCGUGGAGUCAUGAAGAACCUGAACCUCAGUGAGUCCAGACACAGGGUGAGUGAGUCUAAUUGAAAACUGUGAGUUUAAGUCCCAAUCUGGGUUUAGGCCAGGUUCGAGUCCAGGAAGAGGGGUUCAAGUCCCAGUCUGUGUUCUGGCUAGGUUCAGGCUGUUAAUGCUGUCAGUUUCACCUUAGCGCUGCACCCUCUCAGCUGCUUCACAGAGACUCCUAGAUCCAUGCCUCUGACUCUGGGCCUCAAAUCUUUGCAAUGAAUUAAAAUAUCUCAAUGCAACCAAGCAACGCUCAGAGGUCGAACAAAGGUGUUCCUGAAGGUUAGGUUCUCGUCUCAUCAUAGAAAGAAUUCAGAAACAAGAUGGAAAUUGAGAAAGAAAAUUGAAGAUUUAUUUAAGUGAGGAAUACACCUGUUGGGGAGAAGCGGGCAGAGAGGCGAGCAGCUGCCCUGUGUUUUUGGAGCAUCUCUUAGUUGGAAACUAAAAUGAAGGCUACAAAAGAGUAAGUCCCCGUGACUCAUUGACCCACCCAGACACAGACCUGCAGUCUCUACCUUCAGACCUCCAGAGGUGAAACAACCAAGCCCUUGAAGUGGCUGACUUCCCAAGGAUGAAGACAGCCCCAAGAAGAAAGUUAAAUUUGUACCAUGAUCUCAACUGCCAUCCCAGACCUAUAGAACUCAGCACAUGACCUCUUGCCUGUAAAACCUGAUCCUCUCCCAAUGGUGGGGGACUCUGAGUUCCUCUUGCUCGCUGUUCCUGGCCACUCUGCUGGUCAAUAAAUCUUGCUUGAGAUCUCAAAAAAAAAAAAAAAAAA